UGCGUGGGAAGCCAAUUAAACUGAAAUGCAAGUGAUGGAAAUUGCUACCAUUUGUUUGACAUUGAAAAUGGCAUCCUAGAGAAAAUAAUAAAAGGAACUCUGUGCGAUUGCAUUGAAGCUUAUGGAAUCGCAUCGUUCUUCCUGUUAC